rnacentral:rRNA from 1 species
UACAGAGGUCCCAAGCGUUGUUCGGAUUCACUGGGCGUAAAGGGUGCGUAGGUGGUGAGGUAAGUCGGAUGUGAAAUCUCCGAGCUCAACUCGGAAAUGGCAUUGGAAACUACCUUGCUUGAGGGUUGGAGGGGGGACUGGAAUACUUGGUGUAGCAGUGAAAUGCGUAGAUAUCAAGUGGAACACCGGUGGCGAAGGCGGGUCUCUGGGCAGUAACUGACGCUGAGGAGCGAAAGCGUGGGGAGCAAACGGG